rnacentral:rRNA from 1 species
GACGAACGCUGGCGGCGUGCUUAACACAUGCAAGUCGAACGAUGAAGCCGGAGCUUGCUCUGGUGAAUUAGUGGCGAACGGGUGAGUAACACGUGAGUAACCUGCCCUUGACUCUGGGAUAACUGCUAGAAAUGGUAGCUAAUACCGGAUACGACCCUCGGAGGCAUCUCCAGGGGGUGGAAAGAAUUUCGGUCAAGGAUGGACUCGCGGCCUAUCAGCUAGUUGGUGAGGUAAUGGCUCACCAAGGCGACGACGGGUAGCCGGCCUGAGAGGGUGACCGGCCACACUGGGACGGAGACACGGCCCAGACUCCUACGGGAGGCAGCAGUGGGGAAUAUUGCACAAUGGGCGCAAGCCUGAUGCAGCAACGCCGCGUGAGGGAUGACGGCCUUCGGGUUGUAAACCUCUUUUAGUAGGGAAGAAGCGAAAGUGACGGUACCUGCAGAAAAGGCACCGGCUAACUACGUGCCAGCCGCCGCAGUAA